CCCUUCGGUUCGGGAUAACUCAGGGAAACUUGGGCUAAUACCGGAUACGCCCUUACGGGGAAAGAUUUAUUGCCGAAGGAACGGCCCGCGUCCGAUUAGCUUGUUGGUGAGGUAACGGCUCACCAAGGCGACGAUCGGUAGCUGGUCUGAGAGGAUGACCAGCCUCACUGGGACUGAGACACGGCCCAGACUCCUACGGGAGGCAGCAGUGGGGAAUAUUGGACAAUGGGCGCAAGCCUGAUCCAGCCAUGCCGCGUGGGUGAUGAAGGCCCUAGGGUUGUAAAGCCCUUUCAGCGGGGAAGAUAAUGACGGUACCCGCAGAAGAAGCCCCGGCUAACUUCGUGCCAGCAGCCGCGGUAAUACGAAGGGGGCUAGCGUUGCUCGGAAUUACUGGGCGUAAAGCGCACGUAGGCGGCUUCUUAAGUCGGUGGUGAAAUCCUGGAGCUCAACUCCAGAACUGCCUUCGAUACUGGGAAGCUCGAGUCCGGGAGAGGUGAGUGGAACU
rnacentral:rRNA from 1 species